UGGGGAAUUUUGGACAAUUGGGCGAAAGCCUGAUCCAGCAAUGCCGCGUGUGUGAAGAAGGCCUUCGGGUUGUAAAGCACUUUUGUCCGGAAAGAAAUCCUUGGCUCUAAUACAGUCGGGGGAUGACGGUACCGGAAGAAUAAGCACCGGCUAACUACGUGCCAACAGCCGCGGUAAUACGUAGGGUGCAAGCGUUAAUCGGAAUUACUGGGCGUAAAGCGUGCGCAGGCGGUUUGCUAAGACCGAUGUGAAAUCCCCGGGCUCAACCUGGGAACUGCAUUGGUGACUGGCAGGCUAGAGUAUGGCAGAGGGGGGUAGAAUUCCACGUGUAGCAGUGAAAUGCGUAGAGAUGUGGAGGAAUACCGAUGGCGAAGGCAGCCCCCUGGGCCAAGUACUGACGCUCAUGCACG
rnacentral:rRNA from 1 species